rnacentral:rRNA from 1 species
ACGGAAGGCAGCAGUGGGGAAUGUUGCACAAUGGGGGAAACCCUGAUGCAGCGACGCCGCGUGAGUGAAGAAGUAUUUCGGUAUGUAAAGCUCUAUCAGCAAGGAAGAAAAUGACGGUACUUGACUAAGAAGCCCCGGCUAACUACGUGCCAGCAGCCGCGGUAAUACGUAUGGUGCAAGCGUUAUCCGGAUUUACUGGGGGUAAAGGGAGCGUAGGUGGUUUGGCAAGCCAGAAGUGAAAACCCGGGGCUCAACUCCGUGGAUUGCUUUUGGAACUGUUGAACUAGAGUGCAGGAGGGGUGAGUGGAAUUCCCAGUGGAGCGGUGAAAUGCGUAGAUAUUGGGAGGAACACCAGUGGCGAAGGCGGCUCACUGGACUGUAACUGACACUGAGGCUCGAAAGCGUGGGGAGCAAACAGGAUUAGAUACCCUGGUA